CCUAGCACAACUUUCCUGAAAAGUCUUUUGUGUCUGUUCAUUCUGGCCAGAGAAUUAAUCCCAGACCAGCCGUUUAUAUGACAGUGUUGAUAUCUGAUUCUGCCAUUCAAAAGAAAAUAGGAAACUUUCCUGACAGCCAUAAUUCUACUUUUCCUGGCCUGGGCUGAGCCCACACCAGGCAGAAUCUGGUUUCCUUCUGACGAGUGUGGAGUGUCAUCCUCUUCCUGUCUGGCAGGACCAUCUAAUGGAGCAGCUUUUGAGAACACAGCAUUCCUCGGGCAAAAGGAACAGAGAACAGUGGGGCGAUGUGAAGGAUCUGAAAGCUUUUUCUUGGAAACGGAGAACAUUGUAUUAGCCAAGUCCAGUCAUUUAAUGAAAGCUGACAUAGUUAGCGUAGAAAACGUUUUCCACACACACUGGUCCAGCCAGGAGAAUUAGUGGACCUUUUUACUCUAAUAUCUCCCACUAAUACUUUCCUGUCUCUAUCAUGAAAGUGCCAAUGAACAAGGAAGUGUGGUGUUUCCUAAAUGCUUUUCUGAUUUCCUCAGGCCAAAAACUUUCUAACCAUGAAGCCUUUACCAGACCUAUAGCUUAUCUUCAUUUCUCACAGUUGUUUUGUUUUGUUGUGCUAACCUUUCUGGGCAUCUGUACUACAAGUUCUGCUCAGACCCAAUCUCUAUG
rnacentral:sRNA from 1 species